ACCUCAUGGUGUGGAUAUUGAUAUAAAAGUGUUAAGAAUCUAUCCCAUGCUUGGCAUAAUGUUUCUCCUUCCUUUUAUUCAAAGUGUAAAAUUUGAUUCCUGAGAU